AAUACCUUUAUUAAAAUAGAGGAAAUAACACCUAUUAGGAAGUGACCCUGAACUCACACAUUUUAUUAUGGGUGGGAGAAGGCAUUUUCCUUUCAGCAUACUGUAAACGCUCUUAUUUCUUUCGUGGUAUUUAACAGUAGGAAUGGGUGCAAUCUAUUUUUAUAGCAUACAGUUUUGUUGUAGACUCAUAGAGUGCCGAGCAAUGACUUAGCAGGUUGCUUUUUUUUUUUUUUUUUUUUUUAGCCAAAUCAUAAAAACAAACUUUAAAAAAACUAAAUCCACUGGCAACUCUCCAGCAACAGUGUGUGAGGUUGUUCCUGUAGAGUUAUAAAGAAGAAGGAGAAGGAAAAUCAUCACUCAGACAAAUCUGAGCUCAACGACCUUCUUCCGAGCUUCUUCUGAGAAAUGACAUUCUUCUCUAUCGAGCAGGAACAAAGGCACUUGGGAGGAGGGAGCGAAACCUCACUCAUGCUCUUCUGAAACGUGUCCUUGCCACUGACUGUGUGCAUGCCGAACUGUGGGUGCAAUCAUGCAUAUCAAGCACCCACAACCAUACAAAACCACUUCAAAAGCGUAGUCAGUGCCCGCUCCUCCAUCUCCAAAUGAAAAGCACACUGGCUGAUUCAAGACGUGUGUUUCUGCUUUGGGCUUAAACAAGAGAGCAUUAUUUCAGAACGAUCCCAAAAAUAUGUUCCUAAUAUACAGAGAUGAAAGAGUAUUUCACAUACAAGAGGAAACAUUAAAAUGUCCAUCCAUUUUACUUCACGUUGUUAAACACUCGGGCGCUGAUUCAGGAAAGCAUUUCAGCACGAACCUAAGUGCUAAUGCCUGAACUGGAAGAAUUAGACCAUCCAGGAAAAGAAGAUACAACUUGCAAACACCAGUUAGUGUCUGUACAUGUGCGUGUAUGUGCAUGUGUGUGUAUAUAUUCACCAAAAAAGCAAAAUGUGGAAAUCAGUGAUAGCUAAAAAGACCAAGAGAUGAAGAAAACACCAAAUUAGGCAUCAUUUUCACAACAUAGUUUUAAUCAGAAAAGGAAGCCUAAUUUUUGGCUGACUGUGAAAUGCUAAAUAAAAAGAAAGUAAUUCUGCUCUGCAUUCAACCCAGUAAGACACCUCUGUGAAAGAGGAACAGCGUUCAGUGCUGUGAAACCCACCACUAGAAAACAUUGGUGAAUUCAGUAGUGUUUGUGAAUCAGAAAAAUUGCUCAUGGCUUUGGAGGUACAAUUGUUUACUGAAGAGAGGGGGAUAAAAAGCUUUGUGAUCUACUUGUGUCUAUCCCAGCAGGGCAGUGAGGUUUAGCACAAUUCCCCCCACUGCAGCUGGCACCUGUGCAAGCGUCAGCUGCAGCCCCACGCAGGUUCAGCACACAGCGUGAUGGCCAUGCACAGCCCCGGGGGACACAGACAUCUACAAGGCUGACUUCAAUUUAACACCUUCCAUUUCAAACGAGGGGUGUGUUGAACAGAAGCCAACAACAUCUGGAUUGCAUGAUACUGACAUCCAUGUAGGAAGCUUCCAGACUCCGGGAGAGCUAAAAAUACACACAUGGAGCCAGGUAUCCACGUGUCGUGUUUACCCUCUCGAACAGCAAGCCAUGCAAGAGCAACUGGAGAUGGAAAGAGAAACCUUACACAUGUAUUUCCAACUAAUGAAAGAAGCUACACAGCAUUUUGCUUAUUCUAGAGCUUUUCUGAAUUCAUUGAAACACCUGAUGACCUCACAAGGGGUGAAGAAAACAGUCAGUACUUCACAGCGCUGAGCCACAUGUUCAGAGUGCAUAUGCGAGAGCCAGCCAGGAGCUCCAGCCAGAAAUGCUGGCUGCAUCUUGUUAGCCGCAGCAAGAGCUUGCAUAUUAGACCUUAAGUGCUGAGCCUAUUGUGAGCCUGGAGAAGUUACAGUAUUUAUGGAAAUCAGCCUGGAAACCUUCCCUGCAUUCACCUUCAAGCCCUACCAAGUUAGAUUAUGCAAGUCCUUUUAGAUACUUUGAAUAAUUAUGGACAAUUAAGGGAUAUGAACCAAAUCUGAAACCUUUGUUUAUUCCUUUCAUCAAUAAAAUACUCAACAUGGCUCAGAUGGAAAACAACAGGGGGGAAUCUGCUUCUUACGACAGCCUUGUUUAUUAGUACCCCUUGGCAAUGGAUUUUUUAAUAAGCUUGAGCCUAUCAGCCUUUGCAAGUUGCAGCAGAAAAGGGUUAAAUAUCCCUGAAAGUGACCUUAUGGGAGAAAACCAAAUUUUUCAAGACAUUAUUUGUGGAGGCUUUGAAGUAGGCUUGAAAAACUGGAUUCCUUUUUCGUAUUCAGCAUGUACAAUGUGCAGUAUCUGUAAGUAGUAAAGGAGCAGUUCAUGAAUUCAAGAAUCUAUGGUCAAGCUUGUCCUUCAGUUAUGUAAUAUUAAUAACAUAAUAUAAUAGUAAUAUUGAAAACUAUAACUAUUGUUUAUAAUGUUAUUAAUGUUGUUAUUACUAUUAUGAUUGUGAAGUUAAUCCAUAAUUUGCUGUUGUUGAGGAAAGACAAGAUCUUUUCUUUUAGUCAACCAUGAAAUAUUAAAAUAUUGUAGUUCCAAGAAGAACCUACUACCUGAGAGCAGAAAGGUCCACUAGGAAUCCUAGUAAGAUGAUUAUAUCCAAUCCAGAAAACAGAAGGAUAAUGUGAAUGGUAAGAAAGUUAUGAACUGCAGAAAUAAAUGUCAGCCAUAUACGAGUCCUGUUUUCAGAAAUGUUUUGAGACUUAGCCCACUGAUGUUUGUAAAGCAUUUGUGUGAUCCUUGAGUAUCAGAGUUAAAGGAAUGCAAAAUAUUGCAGUUAGAUGUCAGAUAUGGCUGAAAUGCAGAACAAACAAAAGACAAAAGAUUUGCCCUAUACUUGCCCCUCAAUAAGCAGUCAUCUAUUUGUGGAAUAUUUAUAUUAUUCUUAUUAAUAGACAUGUGGAAGCUUUCUUCUAGAGUGGUUAUUUGCAAACCAUCUACAGCCUAUGAUUUGUAAUGCUUAGAAAAGCACCAGAGAGCAAAAUUGCAAUACAUUGAAUUCAUGGCUUUUGAUAAAAUUUUUCUAGCUAUGCAGCACAAGGUCUUCAAGUACAUACAGUAUCUCAGAUGCAUCCUCUUAAAAAAUAGCAGUAUAUUAUAAACAAAUGCAGCUGUGUUUGGAGCCCCUUCUGAGCUGCAUAUGAAGUCUAUAAAGCAACCAUCUUUCACUUCUUGAAAAUUACAAUGCUAAUUAAAAACUGCCUGGUUGAUUCCUGGUUGUAUUAAUAAAUGAGGAAGACUUUAUUCCACUGCAAUGGUUUUCUGUGAGAUGGCAUAUAUGUUCUUGCACAACAGGAUCCAGAUAGAAGACUCUGAAGUUAUUGUCUGUCUUUCCAAUGCUUCUUUGUUGUUACUUCCAAGAUUUUCUUUCCAGUUCAGGACCUUGCAACUUCUAAAACUUUUCAGCAGCAUUUUAAAGAUAAACAGAUUGAUUCCAGAUUGUCUGCCAGUCAUGCUAUAUCCUGUGUUAAAACUGAUGAUGUAUGGAUGAGAGGAGAUUCAGGUAGGACCUAAAGCACAUAUGGUCAACACACAUUGUAUUCAAAGGAAAAAAGAAUUCAAAAUUCAGAGAAACACUUUUGCCUUUUGAAUCUUUUGGCUUAAACUCCACACUCUCUCUCCUUGAACAAUAUCAGAUAAUUCUUUUUACCUGUGGCUUGCUAUCUUUGCAAACACUGAAGAAUAAAAAUCAUUUUAAGAAAUGACUGAACAUGGGAACCGGUGCUCAGUGGUAUUAUUGUUGCAAGUAUUUACUAGGUGUCUUAUCGCUCAGUCCUAACCAGACAGAUCCAAUCCUCAGAACAUUACCUGCCACCAUCAGCACUGCCUGUUGGAUGUGAGAGGUCACGGUUUUGCCAGAGCAUCUGAUCUUGAGACCUCAUUGCUGGAAACAGCCAUCAUAUGCCUUCACCAUGAGCGCUUGCUGAUGUCCGUUCAGUUUGCAGCAUGCCCAGCUCCAUCAUGUAAACCUUAUGAUUGCUUUUCAUUAACUGGUGUAUAUUUUUAUAUGACUGCUGGUAUACUAGUUAUAAGGUAUUCUGAUUUUUUUAAAACAGUAUUUUAUUCAAAGUAACAGUAUUUGAAAGAAUGAGUUAUGAAUAACUCUUCUGAUUUUGAGCACUCCAACAGACACACUAAGUAGUGGUAGUAAUAUGCUUACUCUUCUUUCACAGAUAUAUAGGAAUAAGGAAAUAUGAUGGUUAGGAAAUCUAAUUUUUUGCACAAAAAGCAGCAGUGGAGUGACUAUUUUCCCCUAUUAAAGUACCGAGACAUCUUAAGCCUGGUAACUGGGGCCACAAUCAUACGUUUUUUUGAAGUAAAAAUCAUCCACUGUGACCAUCUGAACUCAUCUUUGAGUCUAAACCAUAACCACACAUAUGUAAACCACCAUUGGGCUGACGGUGAAGGUAACAAAUAUUAUGACUAUAAUGUCUGCAAUAAUUGAUAUUUAGGGGGGAUAAAGAAAAACUUUGUUUCUAAGCAAGAGUUCACAAAGUUCACUCCAGAAAACCUGUAUUACACUAAACUGCUUCAUCACAUGGAAAAGGUUCGCUCACAUUUUGCACAUAUGUUUGCACAUUUGUUUUGUUAAAACAAAUGAUGAUGUCAUUCACCUAUAGCAAGAUGAAGCUCUGCUGUAUGACAAGCAGCUGCUUUUGCGUUAAAUCAUCCCUGGCAUCUCUGAAUUUACUCCUCUUGUUUCAAGACUGUUCUUUUUUCAGAUCCAUACCUGCAGCAUUUCAUUCAUGAAUUUAACCUCUCCAGUGCAAAGAAGAGGCUGAAUUUCAUUCUCCUUGCCUGAACUUCCAUGAAAGAAAUUAUGGUGUUUCAAAUAAAAGAUGUACACUUCUAUGUGCUCAGCACUUGCUGAGAUGGUGGGGCCUGCACCCAGACCUUAUGGGUCUUUCCAGUCAUCCUCAUCAUGUCUCAGCCCAGGAGAAUUUAAAAUUUAAACAAUCCCAAAGCAAAAAGCUUCUUCCCCACCAUAACUAGGUAGGUACAUACGUCCGGACACACUAAUCACAGA